UUUUUCUUCUCUUUUUUUUUCCCCUCACUUCCCCUCCCCUCAGAGACUCUGAUCUCUGCUGCUAUUUUUAAGAGGCUUUUUAAAAUCCUUAUAAAAGAGUGCUUCGGGGUGCCUCAGGAGUUUUACCAUCACUUGGUUACCCUCUAUGUGGUAAUUCAGCAUGCAAGUUGGGCUGCAAGGUUUUACAGGAUUUCUCUCUCUUUGGACUCAACCAAAAAACAAGAUCUCAACGUGUGAGCAAGUAUUAUUAUUCCUGUUCUACUGAUGGAUAAACUCAGACCAACAGAGGUGAAGUGACUUGCCCAAGUUGACACAGAUGUUAGUAGCAGAGGUGUAAAUAGAACCUAGGUCUCUACUGCUAUGCUGACAAAGGACGUCCUUGCCACAAACUGAAACUCACCGCUGUUAGAAAUAAUUAAUAAGUAAGGAUUCUCCUUGACCAUAGACAACUAAUAAGACUGGCUUAAACCAAAAGCUUCUGGUGUUGGCCACUGUCAGAGAAAGGAUUUUGGACUACGUGGACUGCUGCUCUGGAUCUGAUCUGAUCAUUCCUUCGUUCCUUCGUUCCUGGGACUGAAUAAAGAGGUCAGGAGAGGGUUCUAGCAGGCAGGUAAGGAGAAGAUUCACAAAGCGAGAGGCUCUCAGAACAAAGAAGACAAAACGAAAGUCUUAUAAAAGAAAAAAGGAGGAAGAUACUCAAAAAAAGGGAAAAACACAUGAGGAACCUGAAGUCAAGAGUGUUGUUUCUUCAUGGAGUAUAGUUCAUAUCAUGUUGGCUUUUUUGCACAUGCUGUCUUUAACACUCACCCACCUCCCUUACUUACUUGUGUACAGUAUCCGUGGGUGCCAAUCAGUUGGUUAGUGAGCACAUCAAAAUCAUUGCGCACCCUGAAAAAGGUUUGGGAAAGUUUAAUCAUAAUUUCACAGGAUUUAACAUUUCUAAGGCUUGGAAAGUUGCUACCAUGGCUCAGUUUUUGGAUUUCUUUUGGGUACAUUUCUCUAAGAAAAUAUAUGCUUGUUUAUGUAGUUACCUAAAACCUGCUGAAGACAUAGCAGACAUAGCAAGUUGUUUUAAAAGAAAUUAGCAAUUAAGUGGUAAACUGUAGCAGUAAAGAGAAAGGGAAGCUAUUUUCAACAAUAGUUAAAGCUACAAAACUCACAGCUCCUAGAGCGUUUUGCUUAAAUAACUAUUGAGCAAAAAAAGAGUGUUAGAAGAAGAUAUGCAAGUAUUCUUCAUAUAUAUGCAUGACUUCCAAGGAUGAUUGUUUUAGGAACAUACUUGAUUUUGUAUUUUAUGUAAUGUUUCAGAUAUGAAAUAUAGAUAUUACUAACAAAGGUGCCUCCACCAGGUUAGUCUGUCUUUGAUCUCUAGGGAAAUUCUCAUUGCUAUCAAUGGGAUGUGUCCAUUAACUGCAGACAAUUCUGUAUAUGUACUAUACAUAGUAUAAUCUACCAUACACAACAUGGAAGAACAAUAUGCAAAGUAAAAACCCUAUUCUGAGGUCCUUUAUUCUUAGAAACAACAGAAUCAUCAUAGUGCUUCGUGCCACUGGUCCAGCUACUGCAGUACUCUGUCUCAGAUAGUGGUCAGCAUCAGCUGAUUCAGAAGAAGAUUCAAGAAACAUCCUUGUAGACAAUUAUGGAAUACUCUCCCCAAAGAGGAAGGUUUUUUUCCUAAAUCCCAUCAGUUAGUGGUUGGAUUAUGCCCUGAGACAUGAGGGUUUAUAUCCAUUAUAAUUCUCAUGUAAUUGUGAAUAUUCUUAUACCUAUAAAUGUUUGAUCCUUUUCUGAAUGCAAUCAAUCAACUGGACCCUAUGACAAUUUUAUGGCAAUAAAUUCCAUGUGCUGGCCUAAAAAGAAUUUCUUCUUUCAGUUUUAAAUGUGCCAAUUCCAGUUACAUUGGUUCCCCUUAUUCUCGUAUUAGUAAAAAGAUAAAGGGCUUAUCUGACUGACUUUCUCUAUAUAUUUCAUUGUUUUAUAUACCUGUUGCAUGUUCCCUCUUAUUUGUCUCCUCUCUAAGCUGAACAAUUCUAAUCUUUUCACUCUCUCCUGAUAUGUAAGCCUUUCCAUACAUCUAACAAUUUUUGUUGCUUGUCUUUGGACCCCUUCAAUUUCAGCU